rnacentral:rRNA from 1 species
UACGUAGGGGGCAAGCGUUGUUCGGAUUCAUUGGGCGUAAAGGGUGCGUAGGUGGCAUGGUAAGUCGGGUGUGAAAUCCCGGGGCUCAACCCCGGAACUGCACUCGAUACUACCGUGCUCGAGUACUGGAGAGGAGACUGGAAUUUACGGUGUAGCAGUGAAAUGCGUAGAUAUCGUAAGGAAGACCGGUGGCGAAGGCUAGUCUCUGGACAGUUACUGACACUGAGGCACGAAGGCCAGGGGAGCAAACGGG